rnacentral:rRNA from 1 species
GAUGAACGCCGGCGGCGUGCCUAAUACAUGCAAGUCGAGCGAACGGACGAGAAGCUUGCUUCUCUGAUGUUAGCGGCGGACGGGCGAGUAACACGUGGAUAACCUACCUAUAAGACUGGGAUAACUUCGGGAAACCGGAGCUAAUACCGGAUAAUAUUUUGAACCGCAUGGUUCAAAAGUGAAAGACGGUCUUGCUGUCACUUAUAGAUGGAUCCGCGCUGCAUUAGCUAGUUGGUAAGGUAACGGCUUACCAAGGCAACGAUGCAUAGCCGACCUGAGAGGGUGAUCGGCCACACUGGAACUGAGACACGGUCCAGACUCCUACGGGAGGCAGCAGUAGGGAAUCUUCCGCAAUGGGCGAAAGCCUGACGGAGCAACGCCGCGUGAGUGAUGAAGGUCUUCGGAUCGUAAAACUCUGUUAUUAGGGAAGAACAUAUGUGUAAGUAACUGUGCACAUCUUGACGGUACCUAAUCAGAAAGCCACGGCUAACUACGUG